UACCUCUUCUCUAGGAAGAGUAACAGUGAGCACUCCAUUAUCCAUGGCAGCCUUCACCUGAUCAAUCUUGGCAUUCUCAGGCAACCUGAACCUGCGC